CCCUUGUAGUGUUGAUGUUCUAACGUUGACCCCUAAUCGGGGUUGCGGACAGUGCCUGGUGGGUAGUUUGACUGGGGCGGUCUCCUCCCAAAGAGUAACGGAGGAGCACGAAGGUGGGCUAAUCACGGUUGGACAUCGUGAGGUUAGUGCAAUGGCAUAAGCCCGCUUGACUGCGAGAAUGACAAUUCGAGCAGGUGCGAAAGCAGGUCAUAGUGAUCCGGUGGUUCUGAAUGGAAGGGCCAUCGCUCAACGGAUAAAAGGUACUCCGGGGAUAACAGGCUGAUACCGCCCAAGAGUUCAUAUCGACGGCGGUGUUUGGCACCUCGAUGUCGGCUCAUCACAUCCUGGGGCUGAAGUCGGUCCCAAGGGUAUGGCUGUUCGCCAUUUAAAGUGGUACGCGAGCUGGGUUUAGAACGUCGUGAGACAGUUCGGUCCCUAUCUGCCGUGGGCGUUGGAAGAUUGAAGGGGGCUGCUCCUAGUACGAGAGGACCGGAGUGGACGAACCUCUGGUGUUCGGGUUGUGUCGCCAGACGCAUUGCCCGGUAGCUAAGUUCGGAAUCGAUAACCGCUGAAAGCAUCUAAGCGGGAAGCGAGCCCUGAGAUGAGUCUUCCCUGAUACUUUAAGUAUCCUAAAGGGUUGUCGGAGACUACGACGUUGAUAGGUCAGGUGUGUAAGUGCUGUGAGGCAUUGAGCUAACUGAUACUAAUUGCCCGUGAGGCUUAACCAUACAACACCCAAGGGGUUU
rnacentral:rRNA from 1 species